AUUUCCAUUGAGAACAAGGUAGUACCUGAAAACUGUGAGCGGAUAAGUCAAAGUGGGGACUUUCUCAGGUAUCAUUACAAUGGCACGCUUCUGGAUGGCACCCUCUUUGAUUCCAGCUACUCUCGGAACCGCACGUUUGACACGUACAUUGGGCAGGGCUACGUGAUUCCUGGGAUGGAUGAAGGUCUACUUGGUGUUUGCAUUGGAGAAAAGCGAAGGAUUGUGGUCCCCCCUCACCUGGGGUAUGGAGAGGAAGGAAGAGGACGGAGUCUCACUCUGUUGCCCACGCUAGAGUACAGUGGUGCAAUCCUAACUCACUGUAGCCUUGACCUCCUGGCCUCAAGCAAUCCUCCUGCCUCAACCUCCCGAGUAUCUGG
rnacentral:sRNA from 1 species